GCCGGGCGUUGGUGGUGCACGCCUUUAACCCCAGCACUCGGGAGGCAGAGGCAGGUGGAUCUUUGUGAGUUCGAGGCCAGCCUGGUCUCCAGAGCGAGUGCCAGGACAGGCUCCAAAGCUACACAGAGAAACCCUGUCUUAAAAAAACCAAAACCAAACCAAACCAAAACAAAACAGGCUUUGGAGGCUGUCUUGGAACUAGCUCUUGUAGACCAGGCUAGUCUUGAACUCACAGAGAUCCGCCUACCUCU
rnacentral:sRNA from 1 species